CAUCCCCUACGGGGGGCAGCAGUGGGGAAUAUUGCACAAUGGGGGAAACCCUGAUGCAGCGACGCCGCGUGAGUGAAGAAGUAUUUCGGUAUGUAAAGCUCUAUCAGCAGGGAAGAUAAUGACGGUACCUGAGUAAGAAGCCCCGGCUAACUACGUGCCAGCAGCCGCGGUAAUACGUAGGGGGCAAGCGUUAUCCGGAUUUACUGGGUGUAAAGGGAGCGUAGACGGAGGAGCAAGUCUGAUGUGAAAAUCCGGGGCCCAACCCCGGAACUGCAUUGGAAACUGUUUAUCUAGAGUGUCGGAGG
rnacentral:rRNA from 1 species